UAUCGACAUCUCCCUUUUACAGUCCUCACUUGAAAAAUUAAAAUUUCUGGGUUCAUAUAUAUGACCUUAAGAUCCAGUAUCGAUAAGAAAAGAAUCGACACUCCUGACUAGACAUGCAAAGUCUAAAUCAAAGACAUCAUCGGAGAGAGAAAAAUUCUAGAGAAGCAAAUUCGAUUCCAAAAUCUCAUUUUAGAGGAUGAACAGGCCAACAAAUUAGGGAGGCUAUGUAUGGAAAUGAAAUUGCAUAUAAUGUGGACAAAUUGAUGCUCUCCAACAUAUACCUGAUCUUGGCUGCACAAGUAAGGGUCUCGCGAAAAUCAUAUAGUCGGUCAAUACAUACGUUUUAUUGAAUAAUUGAUAAGGAAACAAUAGUUAAAUUUAUCAACCCAAAUGAUGAGCUUGAAAAGCCCUUGCCACCGCCGACCAAGUUGAAUGUCACACCUUUAGGCAAUAUUGCUCAGUUGAUUCCCGCUCCCUCUACAGAAAUUGGUAUAUUGUUCUU